GGUGAGAGAAAUGAGAGAAGGACAGGGAGGCAAAUACAGUGGAUACACUGACGGUCAGAUACAGUAGACAGUCAUUUUCUGUGUGCUCUGCAUUACCAGCUUCAUAAUCAUGCUUUUCAUGCUUUUCAUUCAGGGCCACAUUACCAUGGCACACACCCUACAGGCUGUCUGAUUUCUCAAAGGGCCUUUGCAUAUUGAAUCAAUUCAAGUGAAACAGAGCCAGCACAACGUAAUAGGAAAUCCAGCUCUAUCACUGUAGGACAUCAGAGUCUCCUGUAUGACAAAAAUUUUCAUUCAGCUGCUCAAUCCGAGCUAAAAAUCCAAACAAUGCAAAUGUUUUUGUUUUUUUUAUUUUAUUUUAAAAAAGGCUAUUAACAUCAAUCUAUUUAUAAGACAAGAAUUAGAGUUCACAGCAUCCUUUAGAUUAUUUCAGAUGUUUUUGGUUGUUGGGCAAUUAAAAGAGAAUAUGAAGGCCAUACGGGAACAAAUGUAGCCUUUUGUCUACUUUGAUCGUACUUAGCGAGUAUAAGAGGAAGAAUUAUUUCUGGGAUUUCUUUUUUAAUUAAUUUUUUUUUUUUUUAUCGGGUGAAGUUGUUUUGUGUGCAGUUCUUCUCUCUGUUAGUGACGAGUACUAAAGGACACUUUGUGAGUAUUUCUGUCACCCCAGCAGCAACAGACAGAACAGCAGCUUUUUACACCAUUAAACAAGAAGGUGCUGGACAUCUGGAGUUUAUUACAACAUGUCUUUCAUGCCUAUCCUCAUUUAGCUUCUUGAUGCGUUUGACUGUGGUGAAAAUGGCACUGUAACCAAUUUUCCUCUUUUUGUUUGUAGCUCAAAAGCAUUUUGGUCGGUCUUCAGUACAAAGAAAUGAUUGCUCUUUGUUAUGAACAAUGCCGGUAGCUAUUUUUCAAGUGUCUGUCCUUUGUUUCUUCACAUGACAAGAAAGGACCUAAUUACAUUCAUUCAGAAAGUGAGCUGGAGUGUUUUCAAGUGUAAGAUGGAAACAUAAACACACAAAACAAAGCCCAGACAUGAGGUCAGUUAGUUGACUUAUGUCGAUGUUUCUCACUGUCAGCAUGGGUCAGUACUAAUGCAGUUUGCACUGACAGAAAGGUAGAC
ensembl:lncRNA